UAAACGUCUCAGUUCGGAUUGUAGUCUGCAACUCGACUACAUGAAGCUGGAAUCGCUAGUAAUCGCGGAUCAGAAUGCCGCGGUGAAUACGUUCCCGGGUCUUGUACACACCGCCCGUCACACCAUGGGAGUCAGUAACGCCCGAAGCCGGUGACCCAACCUAACAAGGAGGGAGCCGUCGAAGGCGGGACGGAUGACUGGGGUGAAGUCGUAACAAGGUAAC
rnacentral:rRNA from 1 species